CCCCAUAGUCUGGGAUACCACUUGGAAACAAGGUGCUAAUACCGGAUAAGAAAGCGGAUCGCAUGAUCAGCUUUUAAAAGGCGGCGUAAGCUGUCGCUAUGGGAUGGCCCCGCGGUGCAUUAGCUAGUUGGUAAGGUAAAGGCUUACCAAGGCGAUGAUGCAUAGCCGAGUUGAGAGACUGAUCGGCCACAUUGGGACUGAGACACGGCCCAAACUCCUACGGGAGGCAGCAGC
rnacentral:rRNA from 1 species